rnacentral:rRNA from 1 species
GCGUUAAGUUGCAGGGUAUAGACCCGAAACCCGGUGAUCUAGCCAUGGGCAGGUUGAAGGUUGGGUAACACUAACUGGAGGACCGAACCGACUAAUGUUGAAAAAUUAGCGGAUGACCUGUGGCUGGGGGUGAAAGGCCAAUCAAACCGGGAGAUAGCUGGUUCUCCCCGAAAGCUAUUUAGGUAGCGCCUCGUGAAUUCAUCUCCGGGGGUAGAGCACUGUUUCGGCUAGGGGGCCAUCCCGGCUUACCAACCCGAUGCAAACUGCGAAUACCGGAGAAUGUUAUCACGGGAGACACACGGCGGGUGCUAACGUCCGUCGUGAAGAGGGAAACAACCCAGACCGCCAGCUAAGGUCCCAAAGUCAUGGUUAAGUGGGAAACGAUGUGGGAAGGCCCAGACAGCCAGGAUGUUGGCUUAGAAGCAGCCAUCAUUUAAAGAAAGCGUAAUAGCUCACUGGUCGAGUCGGCCUGCGCGGAAGAUGUAACGGGGCUAAACCAUGCACCGAAGCUGCGGCAGCGAACGUAUCACUUAAAGCGAUUCAGCGGGUUACGAUUGACGGAGCGAAGCGACGUCAAAGCGUAUACAAAGUCGAGUCGGUUUAAGGAUACGUUCAGGUGUUGUUGGGUAGGGGAGCGUUCUGUAAGCCUGCGAAGGUGGCCUGUGAGGGUUGCUGGAGGUAUCAGAAGUGCGAAUGCUGACAUAAGUAACGAUAAAGCGGGUGAAAAGCCCGCUCGCCGGAAGACCAAGGGUUCCUGUCCAACGUUAAUCGGGGCAGGGUGAGUCGACCCCUAAGGCGAGGCCGAAAGGCGUAGUCGAUGGGAAACGGGUUAAUAUUCCCGUACUUGGUGUUACUGCGAAGGGGGGACGGAGAAGGCUAUGUUGGCCGGGCGACGGUUGUCCCGGUUUAAGCGUGUAGGUGUGUGUUCCAGGUAAAUCCGGUUCACUUUAACACUGAGGCGUGAUGACGAGGCACUACGGUGCUGAAGCAACAAAUGCCCUGCUUCCAGGAAAAGCCUCUAAGCAUCAGGUAACAUCAAAUCGUACCCCAAACCGACACAGGUGGUCAGGUAGAGAAUACCAAGGCGCUUGAGAGAACUCGGGUGAAGGAACUAGGCAAAAUGGUGCCGUAACUUCGGGAGAAGGCACGCUGACACGUAGGUGAAGUGAUUUACUCAUGGAGCUGAAGUCAGUCGAAGAUACCAGCUGGCUGCAACUGUUUAUUAAAAACACAGCACUGUGCAAACACGAAAGUGGACGUAUACGGUGUGACGCCUGCCCGGUGCCGGAAGGUUAAUUGAUGGGGUCAGCGCAAGCGAAGCUCCUGAUCGAAGCCCCGGUAAACGGCGGCCGUAACUAUAACGGUCCUAAGGUAGCGAAAUUCCUUGUCGGGUAAGUUCCGACCUGCACGAAUGGCGUAAUGAUGGCCAGGCUGUCUCCACCCGAGACUCAGUGAAAUUGAACUCGCUGUGAAGAUGCAGUGUACCCGCGGCAAGACGGAAAGACCCCGUGAACCUUUACUAUAGCUUGACACUGAACAUUGAGCCUUGAUGUGUAGGAUAGGUGGGAGGCUUUGAAGUGUGGACGCCAGUCUGCAUGGAGCCGACCUUGAAAUACCACCCUUUAAUGUUUGAUGUUCUAACGUGGACCCGUAAUCCGGGUUGCGGACAGUGUCUGGUGGGUAGUUUGACUGGGGCGGUCUCCUCCUAAAGAGUAACGGAGGAGCACGAAGGUUGGCUAAUCCUGGUCGGACAUCAGGAGGUUAGUGCAAUGGCAUAAGCCAGCUUGACUGCGAGCGUGACGGCGCGAGCAGGUGCGAAAGCAGGUCAUAGUGAUCCGGUGGUUCUGAAUGGAAGGGCCAUCGCUCAACGGAUAAAAGGUACUCCGGGGAUAACAGGCUGAUACCGCCCAAGAGUUCAUAUCGACGGCGGUGUUUGGCACCUCGAUGUCGGCUCAUCACAUCCUGGGGCUGAAGUAGGUCCCAAGGGUAUGGCUGUUCGCCAUUUAAAGUGGUACGCGAGCUGGGUUUAGAACGUCGUGAGACAGUUCGGUCCCUAUCUGCCGUGGGCGCUGGAGAACUGAGGGGGGCUGCUCCUAGUACGAGAGGACCGGAGUGGACGCAUCACUGGUGUUCGGGUUGUCAUGCCAAUGGCACUGCCCGGUAGCUAAAUGCGGAAGAGAUAAGUGCUGAAAGCAUCUAAGCACGAAACUUGCCCCGAGAUGAGUUCU